rnacentral:tRNA from 1 species
GGCCGCCUGGCGAAAUGGCAUCGCGUCUGACUACGAUUCCGUCGUUAUCAGGAGAUUGCAGGUUCGACCCCUGCGGUGGUCA